CUUCGACCUCAAAUCAGGUAGGAUUACCCGCUGAACUUAAGCAUAUCAAUAAGCGGAGGA
rnacentral:rRNA from 1 species